rnacentral:rRNA from 1 species
UGGGGAAUAUUGGACAAUGGAGGAGACUCUGAUCCAGCAAUUCUGUGUGCAUGAAGAAGGUUUUCGGAUUGUAAAGUGCUUUCAGCAGGGAAGAAGGAAGUGACGGUACCUGCAGAAGAAGCGACGGCUAAAUACGUGCCAGCAGCCGCGGUAAUACGUAUGUCGCGAGCGUUAUCCGGAAUUAUUGGGCAUAAAGGGCAUCUAGGCGGCGACUCAAGUCAGGGGUGAAAACUUGUGGCUCAACCAUAAGCUUGCCUUUGAAACUGAGUAGCUAGAGUAUUGGAAAGGUGGGCGGAACUACACGAGUAGAGGUGAAAUUCGUAGAUAUGUGUAGGAAUGCCGAUGAUGAAGAUAGCUCACUGGACGAUAACUGACGCUGAAGUGCGAAAGCUAGGGGAGCAAACA